AAAUCCGUUUGAUCCUGGCGGAGGCUACUGCUAUUGGGGUUCGAUUAAGCCAUGCAAGUCGAACGAACUCCUUCGGGGGU
rnacentral:rRNA from 1 species